ACCGCCACCAUGUUGGACUGAGCAUCUUGCGCAGCUUCUGGAAAGACGGACUGACUCGCGGAGCUGAAGUGCUCUCGUAGCCGUUUCCCAUCAGGAACUCUGGCCUGAGGCACCAGGUGCGAGGCCUCUGCGUGCGGCCUUCUGUGAGCUUGUGAAACAGACCAAGCACAAAGGAAAAGAAACAGGAUCCUGCUGGCAACGGCGUGAUGACACGUUUCUGCUGACAGCUCUGAACUUUCAGGCAGAAUCUCUGUGAAUAAGGUGAGAGGGAGGCUUUAAUUAACGCCCUCAGACGGGGAAUGAAAACACCGAGCAGGAAGGUUGUGAGAUGGAUCUGGCUGUCAAAACGAAAUGAAAUAAAAACCCCAAAGUGUUCUGCCCCAACAAGCAGCCCUGCCUCGUGCUGCUGGGCCCUGACCCUCUCCCAGGCCUGGGCCAUGACCCUGGAGUCUGCGGAGAGAUGCUUCAUUUGGAAGGAAUCGAUGAAGCAACUUGCCACAGAAAUCUCCUACCAAGGGCACCCUGUGCCUCACUCCUCUCUCUGCCCUGAGGGCUGCUUUCAAAUCCCUGAUGAUCUCAAAUUCCCUAGAAAGGGCUCGAAAAUAUCCCUCCGUAAUUAUGCCCCAGUGAGGAACUAUCAGCCUGGGAAAGAGGACUCCGAAAGAAUCCCUGAAGUCAGGCCUGGCCAUUGUGUCUGUUUUUAGAGUUCGAUGAGAAAUUCAUGUUACACUUCAGGAAACCUCUUUGGAAGAGACAUAUUUCAGAAUCAGAAUAUGACUUUGAACACAGCCUGAGAAAUCCAAUAUCGUACAGCAGGGAGAUGUCAGCACCGAGGUUCAAGGACAGCUGACGAGGUAGCAUGUUUCGUCACCCCACUCUGUCUGGAGUGAUCCCUGCCCUUCUCACUAAUAGACUCACGCUCUUCUCUCCAUGUGAAAACAAGUCCCAAGCUUUAUCAUUUUCAACAAGGAUCUGUGGACCACUUAGGAUCUGCCAGGCAUUGCCUUAGGAACUGGAAAUCCAGAGGUUACUUUAAAAGCAAAAUCCUUGUCUUCGUAAAAGCAGAUGCACCGUAUGAACCUCAGCUGCUCCACUGAAGGUGCGCAAAGCAAUCUGUACUUACGCAGAAAGGAUAUGCCCUUGGCUCUGAUCUUACUUCUCUGUUCAUCUCAGGUUUGCUGUCCGGUCUCACCCUGACUGUAAAUUCCUCAAGGGCAUGAACCACAGCCUCCUUUGGUCUCUCUUGGUGCCACAUAUGGAGCCAUGUCCCCGUGACCACUCAAAACCCAUGACGGGCAUCCAGACACUCAGAUAACCUCCUAGGUGAUGUGCUCUGACACAGAGAGCAUGUGCUGUUGGGCUUGCUGUUUAUAUUUUUGGAACCUGAGUCAGCGUGCUUGCAUAGAAUGGCCAAGAAAACAAAGCGAGGGGUCAGGCUGAGACAAGACUGGGAAUCUUACUUCCCAAAUUCCUGACUUAAAGAAAACAGUGGGGACGAGACAGGAGAGUCUCUCACCCGUCAAGAGUGCGUGACUGAGGGUGACCUCGAAAGGUCUCAAGCGAUCUGAAAUGUUGUUAUUGGUAAGAAUUAUGCCUACACAUGAUCAGCGCUUUAUACCUUGCAUUUAGUCAUUCAUUCAAGAACAAACCUCACUGUGUGGCAGAACCACCAGAAUAGGAUGCCUGCCUUCAAGGAUCUGGGCUCUUUGCUGAUUUGAUCUUCUAAGAUCGCUUCAGGACAGUUUGGCAGCCCCCAUCACCCCUGGGGAAUAAAGCCUAAGGUUUCCAACUUCAGACUUUGGGAUUUAACCGCAAAGCAUAGGGUAACAUGAUGAGCUCUUCCAGCUUCGCUGUAUUCAUAAUAGUGUUCAAAGCAUCAUCCAUCUUAGGGGGCAUAAGAGUCAAGGUUGAGCAUAAAGGGAUUCAUCGUAGGAACUGGCUGACGUCAUUGUGGGCAUGGGCUAAGCGUGAGUGAAGUUCCCAGGGAAACAGUCGGGAAAGGUGCCAGUGGGCUGGAAGCCCACGGACAAAGGCUGAUGCUGGCUGUCCAUCUGCAGGCAGCCGUGUAGAAGGAUGGUCCAGGGGAAAGGAGAGCACCAGACACCAAGCAGCUGGUCGGCAUCUCUGAGCCCGUUUCAAUAAACGCCUUGCAACUGAUAAAAUCAGGCCGCCCAAGUAACCUCCCCUCUGAUUAGCAGGAAGUCAGCUGAUCAGGGACUUUAAUUAUAUCUGCAAAAUCCCUUCACGGCAACGCAUGCACUGGUCUUCGGCUGAACAACCGGGAAAGAUUUGUGUGCUGCAAAACACCCCCUGCCUCACAAUCCAGCUCCCAAGAGAAUAUCACUCCCAGCCCAUCCUCCCCUGAACUCAGGAGAAAGAGACACAGGGUCAGUCCCUGUUGAGGUGACUCAGCAAAAAGACAUCCCGUGAGGUUAUCAUGAAGCUUAAGGAGAUGGUACACAUAAAAUGCCUGGAGAACACAUAGCAGGUGGAACUGCCAUUUAGCAGAUGAGAAAGUCAAGCUCAGAAAAUAGGCAAAUAGGAGUUCCCGUCGUGGCGCAGUGGUUAACGAAUCCGACUAGGAACCAUGAGGUUGUGGGUUCGGUCCCUGCCCGUGCUCAGUGGGUUAACGAUCCGGCGUUGCCGUGAGCUGUGGUGUAGGUUGCAGACGCAGCUCGGAUCCCAAGUUGCUGUGGCUCUGGCGUAGGCGGGUGGCUACAGCUCCGAUUCAACCCCUAGCCUGGGAACCUCCAUAUGCCGCAGGAGCGGCCCAAGAAAUAGCAACAACAACAACAACAACAA
rnacentral:lncRNA from 1 species